rnacentral:rRNA from 1 species
AUUGAACGCUGGCGGCACGCUUAACACAUGCAAGUCGAACGGCAGCAUUAUAAGAGCUUGCUCUUAUAGAUGGCGAGUGGCGAACGGGUGAGUAACGCGUAGGAAUAUACCUUAAAGUGGGGGAUAACCCGGGGAAACCCGAGCUAAUACCGCGUAAGCUCUACGGAGUAAAGCUGGGGACCUUAUGGCCUGGCGCUUUAAGAAUAGCCUGCGUCUGAUUAGCUAGUUGGUGGGGUAAAGGCCUACCAAGGCGAUGAUCGGUAGCUGGUCUGAGAGGAUGGACAGCCACACUGGGACUGAGACACGGCCCAG